rnacentral:rRNA from 1 species
AGUAUGUCUGGGAACUGCCUGAUGGAGGGGGAUAACUACUGGAAACGGUAGCUAAUACCGCAUAACGUCGCAAGACCAAAGAGGGGGACCUUMGGGCCUCUUGCCAUCGGAUGUGCCCAGAUGGGAUUAGCUAGUAGGUGGGGUAAMGGCUCACCUAGGCGACGAUCCCUAGCUGGUCUGAGAGGAUGACCAGCCACACUGGAACUGAGACACGGUCCAGACUCCUACGGGAGGCAGCAGUGGGGAAUAUUGCACAAUGGGCGCAAGCCUGAUGCAGCCAUGCCGCGUGUAUGAAGAAGGCCUUCGGGUUGUAAAGUACUUUCAGCGGGGAGGAAGGGAGUAAAGUUAAUACCUUUGCUCAUUGACGUUACCCGCAGAAGAAGCAC